rnacentral:rRNA from 1 species
CCUACGGGUGGCAGCAGUGGGGAAUAUUGCACAAUGGGGGGAACCCUGAUGCAGCGACGCCGCGUGAGUGAAGAAGUUUUUCGGUAUGUAAAGCUCUAUCAGCAGGGUAGAAGAUGACGGUACCUGACUAAGAAGCCCCGUCUAACUACGUGCCAGCAGCCGCGCUACUACGUAGGGGGCAAGCGUUCUCCGGAUUUACGGGGUGUAACGGGGGCGUAGGCGGCAGGGCAAGUCUGGAGUGAAAGCCCGGGGCCCAACCCCGGGACUGCUUUGGAAACUGGCAUGCUGGAGUGCUGGAGAGGUAAGCGGAAUUCGUAGUGUAGCGGUGAAAUGCGUAGAUAUUAGGAGGAACACCAGUGGCGAAGGCGGCAUACUGGACAGUAACUGACGUUGAGGCACGAAAGCGUGGGGAGCAAACAGGAUUAGAUACCCGUGUAGUC